AGCUAAAGGACUCUAGAAGCUUCUAGAAGGUCUCUAGAAGCUAAAAGAAGCAGAGCCUGGGAUGGAGAUUCUUCUGCAAGUCCUUUUUGGAGGAGAAACCUAUAAAUGUGAUGACUGAAGCUCCAGCAGCCAUCUUGGACCAU